rnacentral:rRNA from 1 species
GACGAACGCUGGCGGCGCGCCUAAUGCAUGCAAGUCGAGCGACGCAUGCUCGGUGGGUAACCACUGGGUAUGACGGAGCGGCGAACGGGUGAGUAACACGUGAGUAACCUGCCCCGAAGACCGGGAUAGCCCGGGAAACCCGGAUUAAUACCGGAUGCCCUCUCUGGAUCGCAUGGUCCGGUGAGGAAAUGCCUUUGUGCUUCGGGAUGGACUCGCGGCCUAUCAGCUUGUUGGUGAGGUAACGGCUCACCAAGGCUACGACGGGUAGCUGGUCUGAGAGGACGAUCAGCCACACUGGGACUGAGACACGGCCCAGACUCCUACGGGAGGCAGCAGCAGGGAAUCUUGUCCAAUGGGCGAAAGCCUGAGACAGCGACGCCGCGUGAGGGAUGAAGGCCUUCGGGUUGUAAACCUCUUUCAGGAGGGACGAAAUUGACGGUACCUCCAGAAGAAGCCCCGGCCAACUACGUG